rnacentral:rRNA from 1 species
UACGUAGGGGGCAAGCGUUGUCCGGAUUUAUUGGGCGUAAAGAGCGUGUAGGCGGCCAUGCAGGUCCGUUGUGAAAACUCGAGGCUCAACCUCGAGACGUCGGUGGAAACCGCAUGGCUAGAGUCCGGAAGAGGAGAGUGGAAUUCCCGGUGUAGCGGUGAAAUGCGCAGAUAUCGGGAGGAACACCAAUGGCGAAGGCGGCGCGCUGGACCACUACUGACGCUGAGGAACGGAAAGCUAGGGGAGCGAACAGG